AACUACAUGCCACCCUGAACAAGCCCAAUCCCAUCUGAUCUCGGAAGCUAAGCAGGGUCGGGCCUGAUUAGUACUUGGAUGAGAGACCACCUAGGAAGACCAGGUGCUGUAGGCA
rnacentral:rRNA from 1 species